rnacentral:rRNA from 1 species
GAUGAACGCUGGCGGCGUGCCUAAUACAUGCAAGUCGAGCGAACAGAUAAGGAGCUUGCUCCUUUGACGUUAGCGGCGGACGGGUGAGUAACACGUGGGUAACCUACCUAUAAGACUGGGAUAACUUCGGGAAACCGGAGCUAAUACCGGAUAACAUUUGGAACCGCAUGGUUCCAAAGUGAAAGAUGGUUUUGCUAUCACUUAUAGAUGGACCCGCGCCGUAUUAGCUAGUUGGUAAGGUAACGGCUUACCAAGGCGACGAUACGUAGCCGACCUGAGAGGGUGAUCGGCCACACUGGAACUGAGACACGGUCCAGACUCCUACGGGAGGCAGCAGUAGGGAAUCUUCCGCAAUGGGCGAAAGCCUGACGGAGCAACGCCGCGUGAGUGAUGAAGGGUUUCGGCUCGUAAAACUCUGUUAUUAGGGAAGAACAAACGUGUAAGUAACUGUGCACGUCUUGACGGUACCUAAUCAGAAAGCCACGGCUAACUACGUG